rnacentral:rRNA from 1 species
GAUGAACGCUGGCGGCGUGCCUAAUACAUGCAAGUCGAGCGAACAGACGAGGAGCUUGCUCCUCUGACGUUAGCGGCGGACGGGUGAGUAACACGUGGAUAACCUACCUAUAAGACUGGGAUAACUUCGGGAAACCGGAGCUAAUACCGGAUAACAUGUUGAACCGCAUGGUUCAACAGUGAAAGACGGUCUUGCUGUCACUUAUAGAUGGAUCCGCGCCGCAUUAGCUAGUUGGUAAGGUAACGGCUUACCAAGGCAACGAUGCGUAGCCGACCUGAGAGGGUGAUCGGCCACACUGGAACUGAGACACGGUCCAGACUCCUACGGGAGGCAGCAGUAGGGAAUCUUCCGCAAUGGGCGAAAGCCUGACGGAGCAACGCCGCGUGAGUGAAGAAGGUCUGCGGAUCGUAAAACGCUGUUAUUAGGGAAGAACAAAUGUGUAAGUAACUAUGCACGUCUUGACGGUACCUAAGCAGAAAGCCACGGCUAACUACGU